rnacentral:rRNA from 1 species
GCGAAGCCUGACGCAGACAUGCCGCGUGAUGAUGAAGGUCUUAGGAUUGUAAAAUUCUUUCACCGGGGACGAUAAUGACGGUACCCGGAGAAGAAGCCCCGGCUAACUUCGUGCCAGCAGCCGCGGUAA